UCUAUGGUUUUGAUUCAUCAAUUCAAUUCAUUAGAGUUCGGAUUCUAAAUCCGUUAGAGCUCGUCUUCAAUGCUUCGCGUUUGAGCUCGAUCAAUUUCUCGGAGAUCGAAACUCCUUGGUUAGUAUUUCUGCAAAUGAUGCUGAAGAUUAACAAAGCCUGCAAUGUCAGGAAAUGAAGCGGAAAGUUACUGAUCAGACAAGGAUAUUGACAGUUUAUUCCAGCUUGCUUAAUGGAAAAGGAAUUGGCCUCCUCCCACCGGGCAAUACAAAAUCAAGAAAUCUCCCAGCUGGGGUGUUGCUGUCAACAUGGAUCCAUGUAAGGGGGAAGCCCAGGAAAGUAUUCAAUAGAUGAUGCAGAGGAAUAGGCUGAACAUAGCAACAGAAUACAGAUUGAAGGUGCAGUGAAAUUUCAUGAUCAGCUGCACGACACUAUAAUCAUCUGCCUUCUGCACAAGGUAAUUCAGACACUCCAUCUAAACUGUUCUUGUUGCCAUUUUUAGAUGAUCAUCAAAAUUGUCUAAUAUACAGAGUAAUAAUUUGAGAAAAUUGCACUUUUUGUCUCUAAUUUAUAGACUAAUUGUAGAAUUAGUCUCUGAGUGUUGGUUAUGCUUACUUUUCGUCCCUAAGUUAUUAUUUAUAUUGCAAUUU